rnacentral:misc_RNA from 1 species
UCUCCGUAGGUGAACCUGCGGAAGGAUCAUUAAAGAGAAUAUGCCCUUCGGGGUAGAUCUCCCACCCUUUGUUUAUAUUACCUUUGUUGCUUUGGCAGGCCCGUCUUCGGACCACCGGCUUCGGCUGGUCAGUGCUUGCCAGAGGACCCAAAACUCUUAUUAUUAAUGUCGUCUGAGUACUAUAUAAUAGUUAAAACUUUCAACAACGGAUCUCUUGGUUCUG